UACGUAGGGAGCGAGCGUUGUCCGGAUUCAUUGGGCGUAAAGAGCGUGUAGGCGGCCCGGUAAGUCCGCUGUAAAAGUCAAAGGCUCAACCUUUGAAUGUCAGUGGAUACUGCCGGGCUAGAGUCCGGAAGAGGCGAGUGGAACUCCUGGUGUAGCGGUGGAAUGCGCAGAUAUCAGGAAGAACACCAACGGCGAAGGCAGCUCGCUGGGACGGUACUGACGCUGAGACGCGAAAGCGUGGGGAGCGAACAGG
rnacentral:rRNA from 1 species